AGAGUUUGAUCCUGGCUCAGGAUGAACGCUGGCGGCGUGCUUAACACAUGCAAGUCGAACGGGAAAUAUUUCAUUGAGACUUCGGUGGAUUUGAUCUAUUUCUAGUGGCGGACGGGUGAGUAACGCGUGGGUAACCUGCCUUAUACAGGGGGAUAACAGUCAGAAAUGGCUGCUAAUACCGCAUAAGCGCACAGAGCUGCAUGGCUCAGUGUGAAAAACUCCGGUGGUAUAAGAUGGACCCGCGUUGGAUUAGCUGGUUGGUGGGGUAACGGCCCACCAAGGCGACGAUCCAUAGCCGGCCUGAGAGGGCGGACGGCCACAUUGGGACUGAGACACGGCCCAAACUCCUACGGGAGGCAGCAGUAGGGAAUUUUCGUCAAUGGGGGGAACCCUGAACGAGCAAUGCCGCGUGAGUGAAGAAGGUCUUCGGAUCGUAAAGCUCUGUUGUAAGAGAAAAACGACAUUCAUAGGGAAUGAUGAGUGAGUGAUGGUAUCUUACCAGAAAGUCACGGCUAACUACGUGCCAGCAGCCGCGGUAAUACGUAGGUGGCGAGCGUUAUCCGGAAUGAUUGGGCGUAAAGGGUGCGUAGGUGGCAGAACAAGUCUGGAGUAAAAGGUAUGGGCUCAACCCGUACUGGCUCUGGAAACUGUUCAGCUAGAGAACAGAAGAGGACGGCGGAACUCCAUGUGUAGCGGUAAAAUGCGUAGAUAUAUGGAAGAACACCGGUGGCGAAGGCGGCCGUCUGGUCUGUUGCUGACACUGAAGCACGAAAGCGUGGGGAGCAAAUAGGAUUAGAUACCCUAGUAGUCCACGCCGUAAACGAUGAGAACUAGGUGUUGGGGGAAUAACUCAGUGCCGCAGUUAACGCAAUAAGUUCUCCGCCUGGGGAGUAUGCACGCAAGUGUGAAACUCAAAGGAAUUGACGGGGGCCCGCACAAGCGGUGGAGUAUGUGGUUUAAUUCGAAGCAACGCGAAGAACCUUACCAGGCCUUGACAUCCCUUGCAGAGGUAUAGAGAUAUAUCCGAGGUUACCAAGGAGACAGGUGGUGCAUGGUUGUCGUCAGCUCGUGUCGUGAGAUGUUGGGUUAAGUCCCGCAACGAGCGCAACCCUUGUGAUAUGUUACUAACGUUGAGUUGAGGACUCAUAUCAGACUGCCGGUGAUAACCUGGAGGAAGGCGGGGAUGACGUCAAAUCAUCAUGCCCCUUAUGAUUUGGGCUACACACGUGCUACAAUGGCGUAAACAAAGGGAAGCGAGAUCGUGAGAUGGAGCAAAUCCCAAAAAUAACGUCCCAGUUCGGACUGUAGUCUGCAACCCGACUACACGAAGCUGGAAUCGCUAGUAAUCGCGGAUCAGAAUGCCGCGGUGAAUACGUUCCCGGGUCUUGCACACACCGCCCGUCAA
rnacentral:rRNA from 1 species